GCGAUGGCGAGCUAUGGCCAGCUAUGGCGUCACAGAAGCGGCGCAAGAGACUUUUAGGAGUCGUCGUUGAUUCUUUCUUCGGCAAUUUGCAGAUUGAGAGCGUCGUUGCGCUUAUCCUGUACAUCUUCGAAAUUAUUUAAAACAUUGACCACAAUUGCAAAAAGUACCAGGAGCGAACAUAGCUUGUGUGCUCUCGGAAGCAGCUCCAAUUGAACUGCAUAAUUCUCUAUGCAAUUCCCCAGUCCAAGAAAGAAGAAGAGGAAGAAGAAGAAGUAGAAGAAAAACAUUUUAAAAUCAUGAAAAAAUAUUUACUAGCCCGCAGCGAAAUGAGGGUGAGCUGUACAAAUUAAGCUCAUGGGAGCAUCCUCCAUGCCAAUUUCCUAGCAUUGGUAAUCGAUUUAUCGCCGCGUGAGAAAUAGUCUGCGCUUAUCGUCCCUAGAUUCUGUAGUCACACAAUCUCAGACAACAACGACCUGCGUUGAUUGUUUUCGAUCGUUUCCCUCAGACAUGCGCUGUGUGGCGGCCAUUCCUGGCAGAGACAGGAUUUCGGUCGAGUCAAAGCU